GAUUUUUUUAUCAACAACGAGACGGCGAUGUCUCGUAUCUUUUUUUCGAUGUAAUCAGGACACUUUUAUUUUGGUACCCGGAAUUUCGAAAAAUUAAUAUCGUUUGAAAAAUUUUGAAAAUUCUUUUUUGUUAAUAGUUCUAUCAACUCGGAAUAGGGUGCUCGGGGUAAACGCGAAUCAUUUAGUGAUUCUUUAAUAUGGAGGAUGAGUGAUUCUGCCAAUCCAGAAGAUGAAAUUCCGGGCAAUUUGAAUUCCGUGGAUGCGUCAGCGCCUUUGGAAAAGGUUGUAUCCGGUGCAGCGACUACGUCAAAAAGUUCAGCAGCCGUCGGUGGCAGCAAUCCAACAAAAAUCGAGUCGGUUACGACUUCGGAAAGUUUGAAAACUUCGCCGAAAACUUAUAUCAAGGCUAGCGGAAUUUCUGAAGUAAACGAUUGCGACCCGGGAUGUGAAAAUCGUCACGAAAUCGACAUUACUUUGAUCCCGAUCAAGAAAUAUCCAAAAAAUUGUCAGGAGACAGAAAAGACUUGUCUGCGCUUACGCAACUUGAGCGAAAGUUAAAUCCAAAAAAGAAUGUCCGAGAUACGACGAGGAUGUACGCCGGAAAAUAAUUGCAAAAAAAUUGCAUACCUAAGAGCAUUAGAACUAGCACGAGCAAAAGGGAAACAAAACGGCCAUGAUCCCCUGGACUUGGAUAGCGUGAAGAUAAUCUCAGCGACGAGAGCGUUACCUGAAAAAUCCUUAUUCAGGGAGAAUCCACCAAAUUCCGACGAGCAGGAGUCGGGCUCGAACGAAAAAUUGAAAACGAAUCCCAGUAAGGAAGCCAAACCGAAGCAGGAUCAAAUCACUCAAGACACAGCGGAGUCAUCCUGAAGCCCAGAAGAAACGAGAAUAUCCUGAAAAUCCCAAGGGUCCCAAGUUCAACUUAAAGCCAAACCAUCCCCGUCAUCCCAGGAGAGUGAAAGGACCAUACCAAAUCGAAUUAUCCUUGUUAAUUCGAUCGUGCCCAGGGUAGACAAAAAGUUCCUGCGUUCCUCAUCCAGCAGCCCCAGUAGCCGUCCCUUAGCGUUUGGUAACCUCGCGGUGGAGAUGACUCGGGAGGGACAAGCAAUAGCAGUCUGGCCAAACAUGCAAUCAAGGAUGAUCAGUCAUUGUUUAUAUAUAAUCCAUCCAAAUAGAGCUGUACGGCGAGGAGUGGAAGUCAGAUACAAAUGACGAUGAAGGGGCCGAAGCGUUCGAGAAUGAUAAAUAUUCGAGGGCCGUAUUUACUUUCUGGACCCUGGUCAUAGUAGUGGGACUUUACGUUAGUUGUGUGUACGCACUGAGCAGUCCACCGCGUAACACUUCUUCGUAGCUUUUCUUUAAAAGAAAUGAUACAAGAGAAAAAGUAACUUACUCGAGGGAAUGAAUUAGCCAGGAUCAUUCGUCGAAGUCAAGUGGAUAAUGAAAGAAUCCUAACCUUACACCAGGACAUCUCCCAAUGGUUGAUGCAGUAAAAAGUCGUAGAAUCCUGCUUCAGUUUAUUUCUUCCAUAUUGAUUAUCGUACUGAUCGUUGGUAAAGAGCUUACGUAUCUUCGGGCGCUGCGAGCGCUGCGUCAACGAGUGGAACUAUUAUGGAAAGUGGAGGCAAACUGUCUUCGUAAUUUAAAAACCAGUAAAUGGAAUUUCAGUGGCUGCAAGGGCAUCUGGUCAGUGGGGUGUAGAAAACUUUUUUUUUUAAAUUGAACUUGCGCAAGAUAACCAGCCAUACAGCAAGUGCUGAUACGUCGAAUAAUGGACGCCGGAGGCGCGGGAAGUUUGAAAGAGGAAAAUCAUGUACGUCUUUCGUUGAUUCUUGGCAUGGGAAGGAAAAAGAGAAAUUUAAUAAAGAAAAGUGAUAAUAAUUAAAUAAAGAUAUUACAAAGAAUUCCUGCAUAUCUGGUGCGACUGCUACG